rnacentral:rRNA from 1 species
UACGGGGGGGAGCAAGCGUUGUUCGGAUUUACUGGGCGUAAAGGGCGCGUAGGCGGCCUCUGCAAGUCGACUGUGAAAUCUCCGGGCUUAACCCGGAAAGGUCAGCCGAUACUGCAGGGCUAGAGUGCAGAAGGGGCAACUGGAAUUCUCGGUGUAGCGGUGAAAUGCGUAGAUAUCAGGAGGAACACCGGUGGCGAAGGCGGUGGUCUGGGCCUGAACUGACGCUGAGGAGCGAAAGCCAGGGGAGCAAACGGG